UUGCUUCUGUAGCACAUAUACUAAGCUUGGGACUAUACAGAGGAGAUUAGCAUGACCUCUGUGCAAGAGUGGCACACAAAUUUAUGUGGCAUUCCACAUUUUU
ensembl:snRNA U6 U6 spliceosomal RNA